AGAUAGGAACUAUAUACUAAUUAAAUUUAUAUAACCAUGCCUUUUAAUGGAUGCUCAAACGAGAAGGUUUAUGGUAUCAAUGCUAAGGUUAUGUAGCAGCUUCUUUCAUGGCUUCAUCAGCAUGCGAGAACUUUUUAGGGAUUCUUUGAGCUAUAAUUAAAUAAACAAAUGAUACCCCCUCCAUAACACAAAUUGACCCUUCAGGUCUUGAGUGAAGCCAAGUUGGGUGUAUUUAUAGAAGAUGUUGCUUUGAUGUCUUCUACUUUGUUCAAGUCUUGGUUGGAAGAAUGGGCAGGAGUUUUAUCGUCAUGAUGUAUAUUGUUGAGUGUAAUCAGAUGAGUAAGUGGCAGGUUGACAUCAAAGUAUACUUGUAUCACAAAUGGGUCAAGCCGUUACAGAUCAUUAUCGUUGUGUUUACUUAAUUGUCGAAUCAGUCUAAUGUCAUAAAGGCUUAUCUGUUUCAUUUAUGCUAAAGGAACGUAAACUAUUUUUAUUUU